rfam:Lacinutrix sp. 5H-3-7-4, complete genome.
AUGUUAUCAAGAAAGGUGGAGAGAUAGACUCGCUGAAGCCUUAGCAACCCUUAGAUUUACUAAGAAGGUGCUAAAUUCUACUUAAUAUUACGAUUCAUUUAUCGAAAUAUUGGAUAGAUAACUA